UACGUAGGGGGCAAGCGUUGUCCGGAAUCAUUGGGCGUAAAGCGCGUGUAGGCGGCUCGAUAAGUCAUGCGUGUGAAAGUCCAGGGCUCAACCCUGGGAUGCCGGUGGAUACUGUCGAGCUCGAGUCCGGAAGAGGCGAGUGGAAUUCCUGGUGUAGCGGUGAAAUGCGCAGAUAUCAGGAGGAACACCAAUGGCGAAGGCAGCUCGCUGGGACGGUACUGACGCUGAGACGCGAAAGCGUGGGGAGCAAACAGG
rnacentral:rRNA from 1 species